GUCGGUCUAGCUCAUGGGGUAGAGCAGCGGUCUCCAAAACUGUGUGUGAAGGGUUCGAGUCCCUUGUCCGGCGCCA
rnacentral:tRNA from 2 species